CUAUGCGCCUUGCCAGCCCGCUCAGGUGUGCCAGCCGCCGCGGUAAUACGGAGGGUGCAAGCGUUAAUCGGAAUUACUGGCGUAAAGCGCACGCAGGCGGUUUGUUAAGUCAGAUGUGAAAUCCCCGGGCUCAACCUGGGAACUGCAUCUGAUACUGGCAAGCUUGAGUCUCGUAGAGGGGGGUAGAAUUCCAGGUGUAGCGGUGAAAUGCGUAGAGAUCUGGAGGAAUACCGGUGGCGAAGGCGGCCCCCUGGACGAAGACUGACGCUCAGGUGUGAAAGCGUGGGAGCAAACAGG
rnacentral:rRNA from 1 species